rnacentral:rRNA from 1 species
UAACGAUGGCACUGAUUAGUAGGGGUCGAUUUUCCUACUUCGGAGCAAAUGUUUAGUGCCCCGCUUGGGAGUACAGUCGCAAGGCCGAAACUCAAAGGAAUUGACGGGGGCUCACACAAGCGGUGAGGAUGUUGCUUAAUUCGAAGCAACGCGAAGAACCUUACCUGGACUUGACAUGUAUGUGGUAGAAGCCCGAAAGGGUAACGACCAGGUUUACCUGGAGCAUGUACAGGUGUUGCAUGGCUGUCGUCAGCUCGUGUCGUGAGAUGUUGGGUUAAGUCCCGUAACGAGCGAAACCCUUAUCGUUAGUUGCCAGCGGGUCAUGCCGGGGACUCUAGCGAGACUGCCGGUGUCAAACCGGAGGAAGGUGGGGACGACGUCGAGUCAUCAUGGCCCUUACGUCCAGGGCUGCAGACGUCCUACAAUGGCGCGUACAAAGGGAAGCAAGACCGCAAGGUGGAGCGAAUCCCACAAAGCGCGCCCCAGUUCGGAUUGUGGGCCGCAAUUCGCCCGCAUGAAGUCGGAAUCGCUAGUAAUCGCGGAUCAGCAUGCCGCGGUGAAUAUGUUCCUGAGCCUUGUACACACCGCCCGUCAAGCCACGGGAAUCGGUAGCGCCCGAAGUCGCUGUCCUAACCCCUCGGGGAGGGAGGCGCCGACGGUGAGAUCGAUGACUGGGACUAAGUCGUAACAAGGUAGCCGUAG